CCUACGGGAUGCAGCAGUGGGGAAUAUUGGGCAAUGGGCGCAAGCCUGACCCAGCAACGCCGCGUGACGGAAGAAGGCUUUCGGGUUGUAAACUUCUUUUAAGGGGGAAGAGCAGAAGACGGUACCCCUUGAAUAAGCCACGGCUAACUACGUGCCAGCAGCCGCGGUAAUACGUAGGUGGCAAGCGUUAUCCGGAUUUCUUGGGUUUAAAGGGUGCGCAGGCGGAUUUUUAAGUCAGCGGUCAAAUCGUGGGGCUCAACCCCAUCCAGCCGUUGAAACUGGGGAUCUAGAGUGUGCGAGAGGUAUGCGGAAUGCGUGGUGUAGCGGUGAAAUGCAUAGAUAUCACGCAGAACCCCGAUUGCGAAGGCAGCAUACCGGUGCACAACUGACGCUCAGGCACGAAAGCGUGGGUAUCGAACAGGAUUAGAUACCCGUGUAGUC
rnacentral:rRNA from 1 species